UACGAAUGGGGCAAGCGUUGUUCGGAAUAACUGGGCUUAAAGCGUGCGUAGGCGGCCAAGCAAGUCAGGAGUGAAAUCCCCGGGCUUAACCCGGGAAUUGCUUUUGAAACUGCAUGGCUAGAAUCCGGUAGAGGUCGGCAGAAUUCCCAGUGUAGAGGUGAAAUUCGCAGAUAUUGGGAGGAAUACCAGUGGCGUAGGCGGCCGACUGGACCGGUUUUGACGCUGAGGUACGAAAGCGUGGGUAGCAAACAGG
rnacentral:rRNA from 1 species